CCUACGGGGGGCAGCAGUGAGGAAUAUUGGUCAAUGGAUGAGAGUCUGAACCAGCCAAGUAGCGUGAAGGAUGACUGCCCUAUGGGUUGUAAACUUCUUUUAUAUGGGAAUAAAAUGUUCCACGUGUGGGAUUUUGUAUGUACCAUAUGAAUAAGGAUCGGCUAACUCCGUGCCAGCAGCCGCGGUAAUAAGGAGGAUCCGAGCGUUAUCCGGAUUUAUUGGGUUUAAAGGGAGCGUAGGUGGAUUGUUAAGUCAGUUGUGAAAGUUUGCGGCUCAACCGUAAAAUUGCAGUUGAAACUGGCAGUCUUGAGUACAGUAGAGGUGGGCGGAAUUCGUGGUGUAGCGGUGAAAUGCUUAGAUAUCACGAAGAACUCCGAUUGCGAAGGCAGUUCACUGGACUGCAACUGACACUGAGGCUCGAAAGUGUGGGUAUCAAACAGGAUUAGAUACCCGAGUAGUC
rnacentral:rRNA from 1 species